rnacentral:rRNA from 1 species
UACGUAGGGUGCAAGCGUUAAUCGGAAUUACUGGGCGUAAAGCGUGCGCAGGCGGUUAUGUAAGACAGAUGUGAAAUGCCCGGGCUUAACCUGGGAACUGCAUUUGUGACUGCAUGGCUAGAGUUUGGCAGAGGGGGGUAGAAUUCCACGUGUAGCAGUGAAAUGCGUAGAUAUGUGGAGGAACACCGAUGGCGAAGGCAGCCCCCCUGGGUCAAGACUGACGCUCAUGCACGAAAGCGUGGGGAGCAAACAAGG